CAGUAGCCGCGGUAAUACGGAGGGUGCAAGCGUUACUCGGAAUCACUGGGCGUAAAGGACGCGUAGGCGGAUUAUCAAGUCUCUUGUGAAAUCCAACGGCUUAACCGUUAAACUGCUUGGGAAACUGAUAAUCUAGAGUAAGGGAGAGGCAGAUGGAAUUCUUGGUGUAGGGGUAAAAUCCGUAGAUAUCAAGAAGAAUACCUAUUGCGAAGGCGAUCUGCUGGAACUUAACUGACGCUAUGCGUAAAAGCGUGGGGAGCAAACAGGAUUAGAUACCCGCGUAGUCCCUGUCUCUUAUACA
rnacentral:rRNA from 1 species